UUUCCGGCUUUUCUAAAAGCCAGAAAAAAACAGCAGACAUUUUUAU
rfam:Pelodiscus sinensis unplaced genomic scaffold scaffold233, whole genome shotgun sequence.